UUGUUCAAUAAGUGUUGAUAUCUAUAUUUACGUUCAUUUGGCUUUAUAUCUAUACUGCCCAGCAAGACUAAUUUAAGACAGGGAGAUUGCAGAUAUUGCAAAAUGGAUUCCUAAACUCAAAUUCGGUGAAAGUGUAAAUUCUGUAAUGUGCUGUGUUAAAUGAUGGGAAACCGGCACCUCAAGCAGUUGCAACUGGAUAAGCAAGUUUGCCUCAAAGUUUAAUGGACUGGAGUUUGAUUGAUUCCUUGACGUGGCCAAUUUUUACAGCCGGAUAUAUGAUGAUGAUGGGGUAUACUGAGGGGCCUAAAUGGAAAGGGUUUUACGUGGAUGAUUCUCCUGAUACAUCUACGUGGCUUUACUAAGUCGACUAAAGCAGGAGUAUGAGCAUGAUCUAAUCCAAAAUGACCUACCAGAUGUCUUGCAAAGGCAUAUGGAUGGCCAAUAUAGGUAAUAUAUUCUACUUUAUUUAUUAGACAUUCUUUUAUGUUUGAAAGUAUGUUCAUGUAAUUAUUUUGGACUUAAGGCAAAAAAUAUAGCAUGCAUCCUUGGUGACU